UUGGAGGGCAAGUCUGGUGCCAGCAGCCGCGGUAAUUCCAGCUCCAAUAGCGUAUAUUAAAGUUGUUGCAGUUAAAAAGCUCGUAGUUGAAUUUCGGGAUCAAUAUUUCGGUCAUGCCGUUGGUAUGCACUGUUAUCAUUGAUUUCUCACCUUCUAAAGAACCGUAAUGCCAUUAAUUUGGUGUUACGGGGAAUUAGGACUGUUACCUUGGAAAAAUUAGAGUGUUUAAAGCAGGCUCACGCUUGAAUACAUUAGCAUGGAAUAAUGAAAUAGGACAUCCGAUUCUAUUUUGUUGGUUUCUAGGAUCGAUAUAAUGAUUAAUAGGGAUAGUUGGGGGCAUUAGUAUUCAAUUGUCAGAGGUGAAAUUCUUGGAUUUAUUGAAGACUAACUACUGCGAAAGCAUUUGCCAAGGAUGUUUUCAUUAAUCAAGAACGAAAGCUAGGGGAUCGAAGACGAUCAGAUACCGUCGUAGUCUUAACCAUAAACUAUGCCGACUAGGGAUCGGGUGAUGUUAAUUUCUUAAUGACUCAUUCGGUGCCUUACGGGAAACCAAAGUGUUUGGGUUC
rnacentral:rRNA from 1 species